GCCGAGGUGGUGGAACUGGUAGACACGCAGCGUUGAGGGCGCUGUGCUCAUUGCGAGCGUAAGAGUUCGAGUCUCUUCCUCGGCACCA
rnacentral:tRNA from 2 species